rnacentral:misc_RNA from 1 species
AAGUCGUAACAAGGUUUCCGUAGGUGAACCUGCGGAAGGAUCAUUAACACGUAUCCACGUAUCCACCCAAAGGCAACGCGUUUUCAUUCUCCCUCUAUAGCAGAGAACGAGUCGAGUCCACAGUAAAGUAUGAGUGGGGUCCGCAAGGGCCGAUUCGCUGUUCACCAACUGAGUCCGCAAGGCCUCGACGACUGCAUCUCUGUGGAGGCUAAUUUCUUUACUACUUGGGUUCCCAACUCUGCCGUGGUAGUAAGGAGCACUUCUCUAAAACCUAUCUCACCCCUUUUUGCUAGUUGACUUUUAUAUGUUGUUACUUGCGCUUUGCGCAUGGAGCACACGUUUAAUUAUUUGAACGUUAAAAAUACAACUCUUAGCAAUGGAUAUCUUGGUUCUC